GACGAGGGGUCCUAGCGUUGUUCGGAAUCAUUGGGCGUAAAGCGUGUGUAGGCGGCCUAGCAAGUCAGUUGUGAAAGCCCCGGGCUCAACCCGGGAAGUGCUUCUGAUACUGCUUGGCUUGAGUACUGGAGAGGAUAGUGGAAUUCCAGGUGUAGUGGUGAAAUACGUAGAUAUCUGGAGGAACACCGGUGGCGAAGGCGGCUAUCUGGCCAUGUACUGACGCUGAGGAGCGAAAGCCAGGGGAGCAAACGGGG
rnacentral:rRNA from 1 species